ACCUAUACCCCCACCGUUAGUAUAUAUACUCCCUUGCCACUACCUCUAACGGCUUCCCCACGGUGAUUUGCCACGUCAUUUAAUGAAGCCACCAGGGCAGCCAGUCAGCAUGCCACAUGGACACUGCCCGCCCUAAUUAAUUUUACCCGACCCACACUAAAUCACAGCCCUAAAUAUACCAAAUACACCAUCAGAUUCCCUAAAACACCCAAACGAUCUACUUCACUCAGAAAAAACACUAUGGCGGCGGCAGCAGCGCAGCAGUUAGAAAGUGAAAGAGAAUCCCACCAGAUCUACUUCCUCGAGAGCUAAUCUGCUUUUUUUUAAGGUAAUAACAUUAUUCGUCGUUCUUUUAUGGUAGAUUCGAUGUUUCGUAGUUUUAUUUUAGUGUUAGGGUUUUUUUCUUUUAUGGUAGAUUCGAAGUGAUUUUUUUCGUUUUAGUGUAUUUUUUGUUGAUGUUUUUACUUUAUUGUUAUCUUUUUCAUUUUUUCCAUGUUUGUAUGUGUUAUAUUGUUGAUGUUUUUUACUUUGUUGACUGAGGGUUAGGGUUUUGGGUGCGAUUUUGGGUUUCUAUCCUAACUUAGUUUUUGGGUUUGAAUGUUAGGGUGUCAAGGUCGUAUAUGGUUUAGGGCUUCAAUUUUUGGUGGUCCUGGCUUUAUUUAGCAUAUGUUUUUGUCUAGGGUUUCAAGUCUUUGUGGUCCCUACUGGAUUUAUUGUUGUUUGGUGUGGUUACCCUUCAAUAAAUAGCUUAUUUUGUUGUUUGGUGUGGUUUUUGUGUGCUGGAAAGUGUCAAUUCUUGCUUUGUUUAUUGAUGGUGGAAUAUUACUUUUGAUGGUGGAAAAUGUCAAUGUUUGUUUAUUGAGGGUAAAUAUUUCCUGGUCCCCAUAACUUUAUUGUCCUUUGUUUUUGUAGUCUAGCACAUGUUAAAGUGUGGUUUUUUAUUGUCGGUUUAAAGAAAAUCUGAAGUAUUUGUGCCUUUCUUUAGUCUUUCAGUUGACUUGCUAGUUUCCAUGUGGCUUUAUGCUUCUCAAAUAUAUGGUUUCUUUUUUGCUAAAUGAUGAAAAUUAUUUUAAGUGUUGGUACACUUAUGGCCUUCUAAGUUUAUAAUAUUAUGGUUUCUUUAUGCAUUCGCUAUAGUCCCCCCGAUAUAAGUGUACAAUAUUUUUUGUUGCUUUAUGUAUAAUUACUUGUAUAAUUGUUUAUCUUUUCUAAUUAGUCACAUGUAUUUUUGUCUUUUGUUUUGCAGUUUACAGCAAUGGUUAAUGUGUAUUUGUAGUUUCAUUAUGGUGGACAUGGUAUUAGAGCCACAAGUAGAUUACAUAGAAUAUCUUGUUUACAAUAAGAAAGAAUAUGACUUUGACUUGCUUUGCUUAUCUGAUUUAAUGGCUGAAUAUAAUUCUAACCUUGGGUAUAUUGGGGUGCAACAACUCAUAGUGAAAGCUCUUUCUGGUAGAUAAUAUGAAGUAGAAGGGGAUGAUGGGAUUAGAACUUUGUUGGAUUUUAUUAGCCCACAUUAUAAUGUUAUCAAUAUAUUUGUUGUAGAAGAGUCUGAAUAAGGUAUUGCUGUACCUAGUAUAACCCAGCACAGUGAGUAUAACCUAGUUGAUUAUGAUGAUGCCUCUGAACUUGAAGAUGCCUCUGAUUAUGCUUCAGAAGAUAUUGAUUAUGAUGGAAUGGAAUCUCCAGAUUCUUCAGAUUCUGAUUCUGAUUCUGAUAGGUUAGAGUCUCUUUUUAAACAAAAGAAGAGGGACGUCAAUGAAAAUUUGACAGACCAUAUGGAGUUGGAUGAAUCCAUGACAUUCAAAGACAUCAUUGAAGCUAGGAAAGUAAUCAACAUGUAUGCUCUUGCAAAUGGCUAUGGGUUAGAACAACUUAAAAGUGACACUGUUAGGCUUAGGUAUAUAUGUGAAGGUGAUUGUCCUUUUGUAUGCCAUAUAUAUAAGGAUAAUACAAUAGCUGCAUACUUUAAGAGAGGGUUACAAGAUAAUCCAAAGAUUAAGAUUAAAGAUAUGAGGCUUGAAAAUGCCUUUAAUGUUAAUGUUAGUGACUCAAAGUGUAAGAGGGCCAAGAGAAUGAUUUUGGAGAAGCUUGAUGGCAGUUUUAAUGAUGAAUACAACAAGCUUGUGGCUUAUUCCAAUGAACUGAAGUUGAGUAAUCCUAGAAGUGAUGUCAUAAUUAACUUACCAAAGGAUGCUCUUGCUGAAGGAAAAAAAAAAAGAUUUUUAAGGAUGUAUAUUUGUUUUGAUGCAAUGAAGGGGGGGGGGGGGUUAAGAGUGGGUUGAGACCUUUUAUAGGCUUAGAUGAGAUUUUUUUUAAAGUAAAGUGUAAAGGUCAGCUUUUAGUGGCAGUUGCUCAGGAAUCUGGCCACUACUUUUAUCCAUUAGCUUGGGCAGUUGUGGAUAGAGAAAUAAAAGUGUCUUGGAACUAGUUCUUAAGUCAGCUACAAACAUCUUUGGACCUUGGAAUGGGUGGUGGAAUCACUCUUAUAUCAGAUAUACAAAAGGUAUGCCUACUUUACAAGCUUCUUAAUUAUUUCAUUUGUCUUUUUUUUUGUCAUUAUGUGUAGUUUUCUAUUUUUUUGUUAUGAUCUCUAGUGGUUGAUUGAUGCAAUCCAGAAAUUUCUACCUAAGGCCUACUAUAGGUUCUGUGUUAAGCACAUAGAAACAAAUUGGACAAAGAAAAAUGGGUUUGGGAAGUACAAGAAGUAUCUUUGGUAGGCUGCUUGGAGUUCAUAUGAAGAGGAUUACCAAGAUCAACUUGAUAGUAUGAAGCUAGUGGAUGAUGAUGGUAAGGCUGAUGUUGAUAAUCUUUUGAAAUAUCCACCAGAAAAAAUGGAGUAGGGCAUUCUUUGAUACUAUUUGCAAGAACCAGUUAGUGGACAAUAACCUGACUGAGUCCUUCAAUGGUUGGAUACUGGAAGCUAGACGCAAGCCAAUCAUAAAAAUGCUUGAGGAAAUUAGAAUUAAUGCUUGAGGAAAUUAGAAUUAAGGUGAUGAACAUGUUGAAUGACAAUGAAGCUGCUGCUACUGGUUGGGGUAUGGACUACAGUCCAAAGACUAUGCUUCUGUAUAACCAGUUCAUAAGAAUUGCACAAAAAUGUUAGGUUAAUGGACGUGCAGACAAUGGGUUUGAGGUGACUAAAGGGGGUGACAGACACAUUGUGAAUAUAGGGUUAAGGAAAUGCAUUUACAGGACAUGGGACCUUUGUGGAAUCCCAUGUCCUCAUGCAAUUUGUGCCUUGUUGUACAAGAAGCUUGACCCUCAAGAUUAUGUGCUUGGUAUUUGUCCAAAGAAGCAUAUCUAUUAACUUAUUCUCAUAAGUUACAGCCAGUUAGAGGAGAGAAAUUCUGGAGAAUUCACCCCUCACAGUACAUGGAGCCACCAAAUAUAGUAAGAAUUCCUGGAAGGCCAAAGGUUAAGAGGACAAGAGAAAAGAAUGAAGUUGUUAGUAGGCAAGGAUAUUGGUCUCCAACCAAAAAAGGGAGGGUUAUGACUUGUACUACUUGUGGAGAAACUGGACAUAAUGCUAGAGGAUGUGACAAGGUAACAAACUAUUUAUUGUGCUUUAUUGUUCUAUUUUCAGUUUCAUUCCUAAUCAAUAGACUCUUCUCUAAUAUACAACAUUCUAAAGGAAAGAGGCAAAGUGGGAAAUCAAAGGGCAUGCCAAGAAACAAGAAAAGAAGUUUAGUUGAGGAACAUGAAGGGUUUGGGAAAAUUAGAGCUGGUGGAUUUUUGGUGCAGAAGUUGGUGGGAGAAGCCAACAAUGGGGCAGUGGUGAAUGGAGAAGAAGUGCAUAUGAUGGUGUAGUUUAUAUGGUAUAUUUAGGGCUGUGAUUUAGUGUGGGUCGAGUCAAAUUAAGUGAGGCGGGCAGUGUCCAUGUGGCAUGCUGACUGGAUGCCCAGGUGGCUUCAUUAAAUGACGUGGCAAGCCAUCGUUGGGCAGCCAUUAGGGGUAGGGCCAAGGGAGUAUACUAUACUAACGGUGGGGGUACGGGUAGUAACUUAAAGUUGCUAGGGAUAAAUAUGAACCCUUCCCCAAAGUACAGGGGUAAAUCUGGCCCUUUUCCCAUAUAUAUAUAUAUACACACACAGACACCCCAUUCCCGAAACUUAUUUAAUUGAUGCUAUUGGUGCUUAAGGUGCAGUUAGAACCAAUUAAUUCCUGAGUCUCAAGUAGCUAAUUAAGUAUGGUGGUUGAGCUCUGUGUGUUCUUCGUCUCAAGCUAAAUUCUACUUUUCAUCUUUAAAUAUGGUCGGCGAUAUAUAGUAAUAUCAAUUAACUCAAAUGUAUUAUCGUUAGUUUUCAAAUGGCGCUUGACUUCUUCUUUCAUAAAAUUUUGCGUAAGACGUACUAUUUGGAAGUAGAAGUGAUAGCACCCUCGAAAGACAACAUGAUGAGAUAGCAGAAAAUAUUUAAUCGGCGAAGAAGAAGAAAGGAAAUACAAAGAAAAAUAGUAAGUAGUACAUGAUAAGGUAGAAGUCUAGAGAGGGCCGCUGUGCGCAAGCCCUCAAACUCUGCAGGGUUUAGUACGUAUAUUAGUUUAUUCAACCGGCAGAUUUAUUCUUAAACAGCUUACGUAUAUACGUUAUCUUCUUCUUCUUCUUCGUGAUGAUCCUUUUUCAGAUACGAAUUAGGAAAUUAGAACGGAGGGAGGUGCGGAAGGAAGGGCAGCAGUUGUUGAUGCAGCAGACGUCGUACUGAGGCUGCCCAUUACAGAAAUCACAGCUGAUCCCGCAGUGAUCCGUACAGGAGUCACCAUCCUCUGCAUUGCAUCUUGAAAUUGCCAGCAUUAAAGUUACCAUCAUGAUGAUGAACGCCACUGCAAUUGUACCUUUCAAUUUCAUGGCACCCAUUGCUAGCUCUCUCUCUCUCGCUCUUUGAUGGAUUAUUAAUUUCUUCUUCUCUGUUGUGAAGGUCAUGCAUGCAAAUUUAAUUUAUAGAGCUGGGAGAAAAAGGAUUUGCAUGACCUUCCUACCAUUUACCGAUAUUCUUAAUUAGGAGCAAGUCGUUUCUUAGCUUUCUGAUACAGUUGCGAUGACGCAAAUUCCAUGCCUAGCAAUGGAAAGUGAAUAUUUCCAAUAUGUUUUUUAGUGGAUGUACUAGACGAAAUAUGUAUUUUGAUUUGUUUUUAUGACAAUGCCUUUUUGUGUUCGUAUA